GGUAGAGUACAGGAGAACAGCCAAGAGAGAGAACAUUACUGACUCCCUCAUCCCAAAGAGUUUUCCCCCAUAGUAACAAUUAUCCUGUCAUUUCCCAUCAUCUUUUGCCAUGGGCAAAAAAGAAAAACUUACACUCGCACACCCUGGCCGUCCAACAUCAAACGAAUCCCAGGUGCUCGAUGAUAGAGGAAUUGGGCAACCUCAAAAACAGCGUAGACACAGAACACACUGGCACAACAUGGGUAAUUCUAGCAGGUACGAGCAAGGAUAAACCUGCUACAAUUACCCAUGUUGUGCCGGUGUGUUCUGGGCACCUAUUCUAGGACUUGUUUUCAUACAGUAACACAGCUCCUGCACUCAAGCACCAGCCAGACAUACAGACAGACAGACAGACUGAUGAGACAGUGCAGGAGAUUUAUAUAAAGUGCUACCCCCUAGCCCAGGGCACUGCCAGUUAAUGAUCCCUGCCAUGUGCCCAGUGCUGUGUGACAGGAAGGUCCAUCUGGAAAGACAGUCCUCAACAAGAAGGUCCAUCUGGAAAGAGAGUCCUCAGCAGGAAGGUCCAUCUG